rnacentral:rRNA from 1 species
GGAUGAACGCUGGCGGCGUGCCUAAUACAUGCAAGUCGAGCGAACAGACGAGGAGCUUGCUCCUCUGACGUUAGCGGCGGACGGGUGAGUAACACGUGGAUAACCUACCUAUAAGACUGGGGUAACUUCGGGAAACCGGAGCUAAUACCGGAUAAUAUAUUGAACCGCAUGGUUCAAUAGUGAAAGACGGUUUUGCUGUCACUUAUAGAUGGAUCCGCGCCGCAUUAGCUAGUUGGUAAGGUAACGGCUUACCAAGGCAACGAUGCGUAGCCGACCUGAGAGGGUGAUCGGCCACACUGGAACUGAGACACGGUCCAGACUCCUACGGGAGGCAGCAGUAGGGAAUCUUCCGCAAUGGGCGAAAGCCUGACGGAGCAACGCCGCGUGAGUGAUGAAGGUCUUCGGAUCGUAAAACUCUGUUAUUAGGGAAGAACAAAUGUGUAAGUAACUAUGCACGUCUUGACGGUACCUAAUCAGAAAGCCACGGCUAACUACGUG